rnacentral:rRNA from 1 species
CUUCGAAUCAUUCACAAUGGGCGAAAGCCUGAUGGUGCAAUGCCGCGUGGGGGAUGACGGUCCUCGGAUUGUAAACCCCUGUCACCAAGGACUAAACCGACGUGAAGAGCGUCGCUGAAUUAACUUGGAGAGGAAGAGGUGGCUAACUCCGUGCCAGCAGCCGCGGUAAUACGGAGACCUCGAGCGUUACUCGGAAUCACUGGGCGUAAAGGGUCCGCAGGCGGUCAAAUGUGUCAGGUGUGAAAUCCCGGGGCUUAACUCCGGAACUGCGCCUGAAACUAUUUGACUAGAGGCUUGGAGGGGUGAACGGAAUUCCUGGUGUAGCGGUGAAAUGCGUAGAUAUCAGGAGGAACGCCAAUGGCGAAGGCAGUUCACUAGACAAGUUCUGACGCUCAGGGACGAAAGCGUGGGGAGCGAAAGGGAUUAGAUACCCCCGUAGUCC